rnacentral:lncRNA from 1 species
CAAUCAAGCUCAUGACAUCUUUGAGGCUUUCUUCUUCUAGUUUUGGUCCUUCUCUCGAAGUUGCUUUUCCUGUUGAUUUCUUAGUCUUUGUUGACAAAGAGGCUUAAAGCAGCACCCUCAGGUAUGUGGUUUGUUGUGUGUGGUGUGAGGGUGGUAUGUAUAUUAUGCUGUGUGUGGUAUUAUAUGUAGAGUGUAUGUGGGUGUGAAGUGUGUGUGUGUGUGUGUGUGUGUGAGACUCAGCUGUAUGUGUCUCCUGUGGAUCACCUGGGGAUGCAGGACAUGGGAGAAGGAGGGAAGGGUAAAUUGUCUGCAUUAGGCUCUGUUGGAUGAUGAGCUUUAAUGGGCUUUGUGCCUUGUGCAUUGCAGGGUAAAGAGAGUCCUCAGCAUGGUUCUCUUUUGCAGCUGCCUGCCCCUUACACCAAGGUGGAGUGAUAAUGAGGGUGGUCACUGGCGGCCAAGGGUCUCCUUGAAGCAGCUGAGUCAGAGUUAGAGCCCCAGCAACCUAAGUCUACCUCUCCGCCCUCACCAGUGGACCCACUUCCAGGCCACGUAGGUGUAUCUGUUUGGUGAUGUGAGAGUUCCAUGAGCAGGGUUGAUGACAAGGAUGGUCAUGAAAGGAAUGGUCUCAAGGUCACACAAGUCCGCUUGGGGCCAGUCAAGCUGCCUUUUCAAGUUGCCUUCAUUUUCCCACCAGGACAUGGCCAGCUGAGGUCCUACUCCCAGGAAAUCCCAUCCCUCUAGUCUUUUUACUGAGAAAGCUAAUUUGCACUCAACCUCACACAGAUCAGCAGUGAUGGGGCUGAGCACCCUUGGCCUCACCCAGUCAUUAAGCAGCUGCAAUGGAGGGGGCAAGGAUGCUGGUUGCUAUGGUUUGGAUUUGAAAUGUCUCCUCAAACUCACGUAAAGACUGGGUUGCCAUCUGAUGGAAUUUGGGGGAAGUGACUGAAUUAUGAGGGCUCUAAUUUCAUCAAGUGAAUCAAUCCGCUGAUGGGAAUUCAAAGUGAUAGCAUUCCUGGGGAGGUGACAGUACCAGGAAGUGGAGGCUAAUUGAAGGAAAUGGGUCAUAGAGUCACAGUCUUGGGGAACAUCUCAGGUCGCUGCCCCUUCCUCACUGGCUCUCUUUGCCUCUCUGCUUCCCGGCUGUGAUGAGAUAAGUGGAUUUGCCCUCCUGUACCCUUGUUUCUGCCUCCACAAAGGCCUAAAAGCAAUGGAAACAGCCGACAGUGGACUGAAAUCUUUGAAACCCCAUGAGAUCAAAUAAACCUUGUUUUCUUUAAGUUGCUUUUCUCUGGUAUUUUGUCACAGUAAUGGAAAGCUGACCAACACACACAUUCAGCUGUGGACCCC